CAGUACAAAUCCCCACCAUUCGUCCUAGGCGCCGGGCCCCGGGCGACGACGAUAAUAAUGAUGAUGACUACGACGUUUCUUAAACCAAAUUUACUCUUGAGCGAAAAAUUCUAAUCGCGAUACCUCCGCUCAUAAAUUUUGGACUUGGUUAGAUGGUGUGAGAGUAAAUGGUCGUGUGGCGACAGGACGACAAUUCACCUGCAGAACGGUUACGCUAGGAAAGAGUGGAAAAGGCAAAUGGAUGGAGACUUUGGGUAACGAAGUAACAAAGAAUUUUUGGAAAGUUUCCGAAACAAUAACAAAAAAGACGCAGAAGGAUAAAAGAAUUAGACUACAAUUCCGGUAGGUUAAUGGCUGUACAUUAUAGAAAAGGAAAGCAAGGUUCUAUGAAGAGGCAAACAAAAUGCAGGAGAGAUAAGUAAAUUGAAAAGAGAAAAUUAAAGGGUUUUCUGGUCCGAAAACAAAAAAAGCAUGGAUUAGAGGUGCAAUAAAAAGAAAAGACAACGGCCUAGGAUAGUGGCUGUAUACAUUAGAGAAAAGGAAAAUUAAAUGCUACGAAGAGGCAAAAAAAGGGUAGAAGAGAGGAGUAAAUUGAGAAGAGUAAUUUAAAGGGCUUUCUGGACCGAAAACAAGAAAAGGUUAGGUCAGAGAUGCAGGAGAGAGAUAAGACAAGAGGAAAUAUUAAGGUAAAGUAUUAAAAGGAACGAAGCGAAGGAUAUAGUUUUAUUGGUGAUCCAUAUAGUACAGACUGCGUGAAAAAAGUAAAGAAAAAAGGAUUGCGGUCUGCUUUGGGUUAUGGAUCAGGACUUGAAUGCAGUUUAUAAUGGUAUAAGAAAAGAAAAUUCAGGAUGUACACGAAAAGAAUGUAAGAUAUAGAAAAAAGAUUCGAGGACACAAGGGUGACAGGAAAGAUAGAAAAAGGAGUAAUAUAAAGAAGGAAGAGAAAAAUAACAAAUACGACGAAUUUAGUAUGACGAAGAGAAUAAGACUGUGAAGGGGCUGUGUGAUGGGUUCACUGUCUUUCAAAGAGUAGAUACCCAGGUAGCAAACACAAGUCAAAUUUUGGUCAUUUCCUAACUAUUAUUGAUGUCACUAAUUGACGUCCUAAUUACGUUAAAAUUAUGGUCUAAUGUCACAGACUGUUGACGUCACAAUAAAGACGACAUUUUAACAUCAUUUUUAUGACUAUCCCAGGUAAAAGUCGCCGUUAUUUUGACGUUUUAGAAAAUAUUUCGGGUACGUGUCCUAUAAAUGCAGCACUUGCAUUGUGAAAAUAUUGAAAUAACAUAAUUAUAAUGUAAGAAAAAAAUAAA